rnacentral:rRNA from 1 species
AAUCAACGCUGGCGGCGUGCCUAACACAUGCAAGUCGAACGAGAAGGUGACUUCGGUCACUGGAUAGUGGCGUCCGGGUGAGUAACACGUAGGUAAUCUACCUUCGGGUGGGGAAUAACGUCUCGAAAGAGACGCUAAUACCGCAUAAUGCAGCGGCACCUAAUGGUGAUUAGUUGUUAAAGCGGGGGAUCUUCGGACCUCGCGCCUGAAGAGGAGCCUGCGGCAGAUAGCUAGUUGGUGAGGUAAUGGCUCACCAAGGCCUCGAUCUGUAGCUGGUCUGAGAGGACGGCCAGCCACACUGGCACUGACACACGGGCCAGACUCCUACAGGAGGCAGCAGUGGGGAAUUUUGGGCAAUGGGCGAAAGCCUGACCCAGCAACGCCGCGUGAAGGAGGGAAUCCUUCGGGAUGUAAACUUCAUAAGUAAGGGAAGAAAGCUGCGGAUCGAAUAAGUCCGCAGUCCGACGGUACCUUACGUAAGCCACGGCUAACUACGUGCC